rnacentral:misc_RNA from 1 species
GAUGAAGAACGUAGCGAAAUGUGAUAAGUAAUGUGAAUUGCAGAAUUCAGUGAAUCAUCGAAUCUUUGAACGCACAUUGCGCCCGCUAGUAUUCUGGCGGGCAUGCCUGUCCGAGCGUCAUUUCAACCCUCAAGCCCCCGGGCUUGGUGUUGGGGAUCGGCGAGCCUCCGCGCCCGCCGUCCCCUAAAUCUAGUGGCGGUCUCGCUGUAGCUUCCUCUGCGUAGUAGCACACCUCGCACUGGGAAACAGCGCGGCCACGCCGUUAAACCCCCAACUUCUGAACGUUUGACCUCGGAUCAGGUAGGAAUACCCGCUGAACUUAAGCAUAUCAAUAAGCGGAGGA